rnacentral:rRNA from 1 species
AUUGAACGCUGGCGGCAGGCCUAACACAUGCAAGUCGAGCGGAUGAAGGGAGCUUGCUCCUGGAUUCAGCGGCGGACGGGUGAGUAAUGCCUAGGAAUCUGCCUGGUAGUGGGGGAUAACGUCCGGAAACGGGCGCUAAUACCGCAUACGUCCUGAGGGAGAAAGUGGGGGAUCUUCGGACCUCACGCUAUCAGAUGAGCCUAGGUCGGAUUAGCUAGUUGGUGGGGUAAAGGCCUACCAAGGCGACGAUCCGUAACUGGUCUGAGAGGAUGAUCAGUCACACUGGAACUGAGACACGGUCCAGACUCCUACGGGAGGCAGCGGUGGGGAAUAUUGGACAAUGGGCGAAAGCCUGAUCCAGCCAUGCCGCGUGUGUGAAGAAGGUCUUCGGAUUGUAAAGCACUUUAAGUUGGGAGGAAGGGCAGUAAGUUAAUACCUUGCUGUUCUGACGUUACCAACAGAAUAAGCACCGGCUAACUUCGUG